rnacentral:rRNA from 1 species
UACGGGGGGGCAAGCGUUGUUCGGAAUUCCUGGGCGUAAAGGGCUCGUAGGCGGCCAACUAAGUCAUACGUGAAAUCCCUCGGCUUAACCGGGGAACUGCGUCUGAUACUGGAUGGCUUGAGUUCGGGAGAGGGAUGCGGAAUUCCAGGUGUAGCGGUGAAAUGCGUAGAUAUCUGGAGGAACACCGGUGGCGAAGGCGGCAUCCUGGACCGAUACUGACGCUGAGGAGCGAAAGCCAGGGGAGCAAACGGG